rnacentral:tRNA from 7 species
GCCCGGGUGGCGAAACUGGUAGACGCAAGGGACUUAAAAUCCCUCGGUGGCAACACCGUGCCGGUUCGAUUCCGGCCCCGGGCACCA